CCUCAGGAAAGAAAUGCACUUGGCAAAUCUUGGGUUAAGUAAGCUUCUUUAUUGCAAGAGCUGUCAGUGAUGUGCACUGUGAAUCUGCAAGAGGGGCACCCAGGCCCAUUCAGGCAUAAUCAGGGAGAUCUCAGAAUCUGGGAGGCCAUGAAAUGAGUAAAAGUCUUCUCAUCUCUGGAUUCUCACGUUCUCCUUGACAUCCUUGUACUUCAACCACUGAGCGUUGAUAUCUGCUUGCUCUUUGCCUCCAUGCUGGGUGUGCAGUGCAGGCAUUUCUGCUGAGCCUUGUCUCCUGAACUGGGAAAUUGAGUUCUAGAGGCUGGAAAGUCCGAGAUCCAGAUGCCAGGAAAUUAUGUGUCCAGUAUGGGCUGCCCAGGAGAUGCUCAUUGCUGGAGCAGGAUGGAGAAGUGUGGUUUUACUGCUCCUGCAAUGAAGUAGAGUCCAUUUCUCCACCAUUCGAAUCUAGACUGCCCUUGUGACUUGCUUUGGCUGAAAGAAUGAAAUACAAAUGCUUCUAUGCAAGGUCUGGUCCUAGGCCUCAAGGGACCUUACAUGCUUCUAUUUGUUCUCUUGGAAUCCUGCGAAACUGCUAUGUAAACAAGCCCACCUCAUAGCUAAUUAUAGAUGAGGUGGGAAGCCCCAUGAAAAAGACCAGCAGGACCCACAGGCAGGGCCACUGCUUUCCUGCCAGCACCAUCCGGUUCCCUGGCCCCGCGGCAUUAUCUCACUUUUUGCCUCUGAAACGGCUUGCUUCUAGGAAAGCAGAACUUACCCCUAAGAUUCUAUGGUUCCUUGAGCUAACUCCUAAUUGGUCCAUUUGUAGCACCUCAUUUGCAUGGAACUCACUCCUGAUUGGUCCAUUUCUGUCACUACUGAUUGGUCCA